rnacentral:tRNA from 1 species
GGCACUUUGGCGGAGUGGUUAACGCGCUGCCCUGCUAUCUUUCCUCAAAGCUAGCUGCCAGGCAGUUCCUUCGGGAGCGUGUGUUCGAAUCACACAGGUGUCG